rnacentral:SRP_RNA from 1 species
GCCAGGUGUGGUGGUGCACACCUGUAAUCCCAGCUACUAGGGAAGCUGAGGCAGGGGAAUCACUCGAGCCCAGGGGCAGAGAUUGCAGUGAGCCAAGAUCAUGCCACUGCACUGCAGCCUGGGCGACAGAGUGAGAUUCUGUCUCAA